rnacentral:rRNA from 1 species
CCUACGGGUGGCAGCAGUGAGGAAUAUUGGUCAAUGGACGAGAGUCUGAACCAGCCAAGUAGCGUGAAGGAUGACGGCUCUAUGUGUUGUAAACUUCUUCUAUAAGGGAAUAAAACGAGGCACGUGUGCCUUUUUCCCUGUAUUUCAUGAUUACGGAUCGGCUAAUUCUGUGUCAGCAGCCGCUGUAAUACGGAGUAUCUGGGCGUUAUCCGGAUUGAGUGGGUUUAAAGGGAGCGUAGAUGGGUUAGUAAGUCAGUAGUGAAAGUUUGCGGCUCAACCGGAAAAUUGCAAUUGAUACUGCCAGUCUUGAGUACAGUUGAGGUAGGCGGAAUUCGUAGUGUAGCGGUGAAAUGCUUAGAUAUCACGAAGAACACCGAUUGCGAAGGCAGCUUACUAAACUGUGACUGACAUUGAUGCUCGAAAGUGUGGGUAUCAAACAGGAUUAGAUACCCGUGUAGUC